GAUGAAGAACGUAGCGUAAUGCGAUAAGUAGUGUGAAUUGCAGAAUUCAGUGAAUCAUCGAAUCUUUGAACGCACAUUGCGCCCCUUGGUAUCCCGAGGGGCAUGCCUUUUCGAGCGUCAUUUCACCACUCAAGCCUGGCUUGGUGUUGGGCGACGUCCCCUUUGGGGACGCGCCUCGAAACGCUCGGCGGCGUGGCACCGGCUUUAAGCGUAGCAGAAUCUUUCGCUUUGGAAGUCGGGGCCCCGUCUGCCGGAAGACCUACUCGCAAGGUUGACCUCGGAUCAGGCAGGGAUACCCGCUGAACUUAAGCAUAUCAAUAAGCGGAGGA
rnacentral:misc_RNA from 1 species